rnacentral:rRNA from 1 species
CUGCUUGUGUGUGCGUGGAUUGGAAUCAAUCGAUUCCUUCCUGUUCGUGCGUUCUGGCCAUGGUUACCGAUGAUGCCGCGUGCAGUGCGUGCACCCGACUGGUGGUUCCGCUGCGUCUUGCGCCGCGUGGACUGCCUCCGCCCGGGCUGGGGACCGCGCUGCCGCGCGCUGGUCGAUGACCACCGCCGCGUCGCCGCGACACGUCGCGUUUGCCUCUAGUGCGGGCUGGAUCGCCACGCCCGUGAGGCCGUGAGGGCGCUUCCGGCUGCCGGCUUACGUGCCUGAGGACGCGCCGAUGCGGUGGCCGCGGGCUUGCUGAGGCGAGGAAGGCCGCGGAUGCGGUCGCUGCCGUUGGCGUUAGGAGAAGGGGAUGGAGGCGCGAGACCCAGGCGCGCUGGAGGUCGCGCCGCCGUGCCUUGAGAAGCCGGUCGCGCCGAGGGCCGCGGUCGAUGGCCUGAUGGCCAAACACUGCCACCGGAUGAAAAAUUCUAUCAAUUUUAUCCCCUGUUCGUUCCUCUCCCUUUUUCUCUGUUUUCUACUUCCCUGUUCUUCUCGUCUUGGUAGAUGCAGGGAAAUUUGGAUUUUUGUGCUUUCUUCUGAUGGUUGCUUGGUUGCUCUUUGCAUCUGCGACGAAAAACAAAUCUAAGAUUGAGAAGGAACUGCCAAUUUAAUUUGUUGAUGAUUGAUGGCAAGAUCGUUGGAGAAGACGAUGGGGUCGAUUAAAGGAGAAACGAGGGGAAGUCGUUUCCAGCGUUUCCGAUGUUCAUCGGAGUUGUUCGUCGGUGCUCUCGGUAGAGGCGUGCUGAUAACGUGUAAAGAUGGAAAAGACAGAGCAGAGAGAAUAAUGGAUGAACAGUUAUUCUAUUGAUUGAAGAUUGGGGUAUUUAUACCUAGUUUACAAGGCGGGUACAAAAGGAGGCAGUUGCCAAAAGUGGCACCGAC